GACGUAGGGCGCGAGCGUUGUCCGGAUUUAUUGGGCGUAAAGAGCUCGUAGGCGGCUUGUCGCGUCGUCCGUGAAAACUUGGGGCUCAACCCCAAGCUUGCGGUCGAUACGGGCAGGCUAGAGUUCGGUAGGGGAGACUGGAAUUCCUGGUGUAGCGGUGAAAUGCGCAGAUAUCAGGAGGAACACCGGUGGCGAAGGCGGGUCUCUGGGCCGUAACUGACACUGAGGAGCGAAAGCGUGGGGAGCGAACAGG
rnacentral:rRNA from 1 species